rnacentral:lncRNA from 1 species
UUUUACUUUAAGAUAAGAUGGUCUUAUAAUUAUUUUUCCAGUUGCACAUGCGGUGCACAUAAAAUUUGAUGAUUUUGGAAAAAUUUUAGUUGGAAGGCUAUGACCAAUAGAAUUAUCAAUAGUUUUUCUCAUCAUCCCUAUGUCAGGAUGACCUAGGCGAUCAUGCCAAGUCUUCAAUUUAUCAAGAUCUUCAAUUUUUUUUGUACGCAACAUGUGGUACGGGUUUUAUAUAACUGUAAUAUAAUCCAGAUGAAAGUGAGGGGAAUUUUUCAAGAAUUUGUUUCUCAGACCCAUUGCUCUUUGUUAAAAGCAAAUAUUCAUAAUUAUUUUCAAAAAUUGUUUUCAGAUAGAAAUAUUUGAUCUGAGGUAUUUGAAACUUAGAAUGGUGCGUGUAGAUUCAGGAUACAAGAGUGCAUCCUCAAUUACAAUCGUAGCAUCCAUAGGUAGAACAAGUGUGGCCCGUCCUGAACCAAU